rnacentral:rRNA from 1 species
GACGAACGCUGGCGGCGUGCUUAACACAUGCAAGUCGAACGGUGAUGCUCCAGCUUGCUGGAGUGGAUCAGUGGCGAACGGGUGAGUAACACGUGAGCAACCUGCCCCAGACUCUGGAAUAAGCGCUGGAAACGGCGUCUAAUACUGGAUACGAAACUGGCCCGCAUGGGCAUGGUUUGGAAAGUUUUUCGGUUUGGGAUGGGCUCGCGGCCUAUCAGCUUGUUGGUGAGGUAAUGGCUCACCAAGGCGACGACGGGUAGCCGGCCUGAGAGGGCGACCGGCCACACUGGGACUGAGACACGGCCCAGACUCCUACGGGAGGCAGCAGUGGGGAAUAUUGCACAAUGGGCGAAGGCCUGAUGCAGCGACGCCGCGUGAGGGAUGACGGCCUUCGGGUUGUAAACCUCUUUCAGCAGGGAAGAAGCGAAAGUGACGGUACCUGCAGAAGAAGCACCGGCUAACUACGUG